rnacentral:rRNA from 1 species
UGGCGACCAUAGCAAGAGUGAACCACCUGAUCCCUUCCCGAACUCAGAAGUGAAACCUCUUAGCGCUGAUGGUAGUGUGGGAUUACCCAUGUAGAGUAAGUCAUCGCCAGCUC